rnacentral:rRNA from 1 species
CGGAGGAUCCAAGCGUUAUCCGGAAUCAUUGGGUUUAAAGGGUCCGUAGGCGGUUUGGUAAGUCAGUGGUGAAAGCCCAUCGCUCAACGGUGGAACGGCCAUUGAUACUGCCAGACUUGAAUUAUUAGGAAGUAACUAGAAUAUGUAGUGUAGCGGUGAAAUGCUUAGAUAUUACAUGGAAUACCAAUUGCGAAGGCAGGUUACUACUAAUUGAUUGACGCUGAUGGACGAAAGCGUGGGGAGCGAACAGGAUUAGAUACCCUGGUAGUCCACGCCGUAAACGAUGGAUACUAGCUGUUGGGAGCAAUCUCAGUGGCUAAGCGAAAGUGAUAAGUAUCCCACCUGGGGAGUACGUUCGCAAGAAUG